rnacentral:rRNA from 1 species
UACGGAGGAUCCAAGCGUUAUCCGGAAUCAUUGGGUUUAAAGGGUGCGCAGGCGGAUAUGUAAGUCAGUGGUGAAAUCUCCGGGCUUAACCCGGAAACUGCCGUUGAUACUAUAUAUCUUGAAUGCUGUGGAGGUAAGCAGAAUAUGUCAUGUAGCGGUGAAAUGCUUAGAGAUGACAUAGAAUACCUAUUGCGAAGGCAGCUUACUACGCAGAUAUUGACGCUCAUGCACGAAAGCGUGGGGAGCAAACAGG